UACAGAGGUGGCAAGCGUUGUUCGGAAUUACUGGGCGUAAAGGGCGCGUAGGCGGUCUUGUAAGUCUUGUGUGAAAUCCCUCGGCUUAACUGAGGAACUGCACGAGAUACUGCGAGACUUGAGUUCGGGAGAGGAAAGCGGAAUUCCGGGUGUAGCGGUGAAAUGCGUAGAUAUCCGGAGGAACACCGGUGGCGAAGGCGGCUUUCUGGGCCUUACCUGACGCUGAGGAGCGAAAGCUGGGGGAGCGAACAGG
rnacentral:rRNA from 1 species